GCCAGCCGGCGCAUGUGUGCUCGCUAGUAAGCAGAGGGGUAUGCGCUAGCCGGCGCAUGUGUGCUCGCUCAUAAAGGGAGAAUGCGCGUAUCGCGACUUACGUGCUCGUAUGUAGAGCAGCAGACUCGCAUUGAGACUGAGAUGCUCGUAUGUAAAGGAGCAUACGCUCGUGGCGACUUACGUACUCGUAUGUAAAGCAGCAGGCUCGCACGAAGACUGAGAAGAUCGUAUGUAAAGGAGCAUGCGCAUAUGGCGACUUAAGUGAACGCAAGAGAGCAUGCGCGUACGGCGACUUACAUGCUCGUAUGUAGAGCAGCAGGCUCGCAAGGAGACUGGUGUGCUCGUAUGUAGAGCAGCAGGGGACGUACUCGUAUGUAAAGAAGCAUGCGCGUAUAGCGACUUACGUGCGUGUAUGUAAAAUAGCAUACUCGCAUAGAGACUGAGAUUCUCGUAUGUAAAGGAGCAUGCGCGCAUAGCGUCUUACGUGCUCGUAUGUAGAGCAGCAGACUCGCACGGUGUCUGAGAUGCUCAUAUGUAAAAGAGCAUGCGCGUAUGGCGACUUACGUGAACGUAAGUAAGGGAGCGUGCGAGUAUGGCGACUUACGUUUUCGUAUGUAGAGUAGCAGGCUCGUAAGGAGACUGGUGUGCUCGUAUGUAGAGCAGCAGACUCGCAUGGCGACUAAGAUGCUCGUAUGUAAAGGAGCAGGUGUGCUCGCUAGUAUGUAGAGCAUGUGCCGGCCGGCGCAUGUAUGCUCGGUUGUAAGUAGAGGCUUGCUCGUAACUAGAUGAGCAUGUGCCUACCAGCGCAUCUGUGAUCGCUCGCAAGUGGAGGCUCGCUCGUAAUUAGAGGAACAUGCGCCAGCCGGCGCAUGUGUGCUCGCUCGUAAGCAGAGGAGCAUGCGGCAGCCGGCACAUGUGUUCUCGCUCGUAAGUGGAGGCUCGCUCGUAAGGGGAGGAGCAUGCGCCUGCCAGCGCAUGUGUGCUCGUAAGUGAGUAGAGGAGCAUGCGCCAGCCGGCGCAUGUGUGCUCGCUCGUAAGUGGAGGCUUGUAAGUAAGCAUGUAGAGGAACAUGCGCGAGCCGGUGCAUGUGUGCCCACUAGUAAGCAGAGGGGUAUGCGCCAGCCGACGCAUGUGUGCUCGCUCAUAAGGGAGAAUGCGCGUAUGGCGACUUAUGUGCUCGUACGUAGAGCAGUAGACUAGCAUUGAGACUGAGAUGCUCGUAUGUAAAGAAGCAUGCGCGCGUGGCGACUUACGUGCGCGUAUGUAGAGCAGCAGGCUCGCACGGGGACUGAGAUGCUCGUAUGAAAAGGAGCAUGCGCGUAUGGCUACUUACUUGCUCGUAUGUAGAGUAGCAGGCUCGCAAGAAAACUAGUGUGCUCGUAUGUAGAGCAGCAGACUCGCAUGAAGACUGAGAUGCUUGUAUGUAAAGGAGCAGGUGUGCUCCUUCGUAUGUAGAGCACCAGGCUCGCAAGGAGACUGUUGUGCUCGUAUGUAGAGCAGCAGGCUGGCAUGGAGGCUGGCGUGCUCAUAUGUAAAGUAGCAUGCGCGUGUGGCGACUUACGUGCUCGUAUGUAAAGCAGUAGACUCACAUUGAGACUGAGAUGCUCGUAUGUAAAGGAGCAUGCGCGCAUGGCGUCUUACGUGCUCGUAUGUAGAGCAGCAGGCUCGCACGGUGACUGAGAUGCUCGUAUGUAAAGAAGCAUGCUCUUAUGGCGACUUACGUGAACGUAAGUAAGGGAGCAUGCGAGUAUGGCGACUUACGUGCUCGUAUGUAGAGCAGCAGGCUCGUAAGGAGACUGGUAUGCUCGUAUGUGGAACAACAGACUCGCCUGGAGACUAAGAUGCUCGUAUGUAAAGGAGUAGGUGUGCUCGCUCGUAAGUAGAGGCUUGCUCGUAAGUAGAGGAGCAUGCACCAACCGGCGCAUCUGUGAUCGCUCGUAAGUGGAGGCUCGCUCGUAAGCAGAGGAGCAUGCGCCAGCCGGCGCAUGUGCGCUCGCUCGUAAGCAGAGGGUCACUCGUAAGUAUGUAGAGUAGCAUGCGCCAGCCGGCGCAUGUGUGCUCCCUCGUAAGUGGAGGCUCGCUCGUAAGUAUGUAGAGGUGCAUGCGCCAGCCGGCGCAUGUGUGCUCCCUCGUAAGUGGAGGCUCGCUCGUAAGUAUGUAGAGGUGCAUGCGCCAGCCGGCGCAUGUGUGCUCGCUGGUAAGCCGAGGGGCAUGCGCCAGCCGGCGCAUAUGUGCUAGCUCAUAAGGGAGAAUGCGCGUAUGGCGACUUACGUGCUCGAAUGUAGAGCAGCAGACUCGCAAUGAGACUCGCAAUGAGACUGAGAUGCUCGUAUGCGCGUGUGGCGACUUACGUGCUCGUAUGUAGAACAGCAGGCUCGCACGGAGACUGAGAUGCUCGUAGGUAAAGGAGCAUGCGCGUAUGGCGACUUACGUGCUCGUAUGUAGAGCAGCAGGCUGGCAUGGAGGCUGGCGUGCUCG
rnacentral:lncRNA from 1 species